UACGGAGGAUGCGAGCGUUAUCCGGAUUUAUUGGGUUUAAAGGGUGCGCAGGCGGCGCGUCAAGUCAGCGGUCAAACCCCGGGGCUCAACCCCGGUCCGCCGUUGAGACUGACGUGCUGGAGUGCGUGGGAGGAUGGCGGAAUGCGUGGUGUAGCGGUGAAAUGCAUAGAUAUCACGCAGAACUCCGAUUGCGAAGGCAGCUGUCCGUCACGCCACUGACGCUCAUGCACGAAAGCGUGGGUAUC
rnacentral:rRNA from 1 species